rnacentral:rRNA from 1 species
UACGGAGGGAGCUAGCGUUGUUCGGAAUUACUGGGCGUAAAGCGCACGUAGGCGGCGUGGUAAGUCAGAUGUGAAAUCCCGGGGCUCAACCCCGGAACUGCAUCCGAUACUGCCAUGCUUGAGGGUUGGAGAGGUAGCUGGAAUUCUCGGUGUAGCAGUGAAAUGCGUGGAUAUCGAGAGGAACACUCGUGGCGAAGGCGAGCUACUGGACAACAUCUGACGCUGAGGCUCGAAGGCUAGGGGAGCAAAAGGG